UCUUUGUAUUCAAGUAACCAGCAUCAGCAGCAAAAGAACUCGGCUCACAUGUCAGCUACUGCACUUUUGCAAAAAGCAGCCCAAAUGGGAUCUACAAAGAGCAACCCAGCAUUCAGUACCGGCAAUGGGAUUUCAUUGAUGAGCUCACCAUCUCUCUCAAAUGCGACAAGCUUCAACACUUAUGACCAAAGCAAAAGUAAAGAAACCCUCAAGUUUCUGAGCAGGCAACCAAAUCAAGCUG
rnacentral:misc_RNA from 1 species